ACCUGGCUGGCUCAGUGGGUAGAACAUAAGACUCUUAAUCUCAGGGUCAUGAGUUUGAGCCCCAUGUUAGGCA
rnacentral:tRNA from 1 species